rnacentral:rRNA from 1 species
UACGGAGGGUGCAAACGUUGCUCGGAAUCAUUGGGCGUAAAGCGCACGUAGGCGGCCUGUUAAGUCGGGUGUGAAAGCCCUGGGCUCAACCCAGGAAGUGCACUCGAAACUGGCGGGCUUGAAUAUGGAAGAGGGUCGCGGAAUUCCCGGUGUAGAGGUGAAAUUCGUAGAUAUCGGGAGGAACACCUGUGGCGAAAGCGGCGCACUGGACCACAACUGACGCUGAGGCGCGAAAGCUAGGGGAGCAAACAGG